CUUGUUUGCCAGCACUUCGGGUGGGAACUCCAGGGAGACUGCCGGUGAUAAACCGGAGGAAGGUGGGGACGACGUCAAGUCAUCAUGGCCCUUACGAGUAGGGCUACACACGUGCUACAAUGGCGCAUACAGAGGGCGGCCAACUUGCGAAAGUGAGCGAAUCCCAAAAAGUGCGUCGUAGUCCGGAUUGGAGUCUGCAACUCGACUCCAUGAAGUCGGAAUCGCUAGUAAUCGUGGAUCAGAAUGCCACGGUGAAUACGUUCCCGGGCCUUGUACACACCGCCCGUCACACCAUGGGAGUGGGCUGCAAAAGAAGUGGGUAGUUUAACCUUCGGGAGGACGCUCACCACUUUGUGGUUCAUGACUGGGGUGAAGUCGUAACAAGGUAACCG
rnacentral:rRNA from 1 species